GAGGUUUUUAUCCUGAGUGGCAGGAUGAUUCGGUGACCUGAGAGACGCUACCGCACAGCUACAAGUCGAGGGGCUUCAGGAACGGGGCCGCGACCUCCGCGGUGUUGGAGAUGUUGCUGAUGGGCUGCGAUGAACCGGUGGCCGCAUCUACCCAAUCCGCCCAGAUCGAAAAGGUACUUCUGGCCCUUGAGUACUAGUUGGAAGCAUGCCUGCAUUGCUGAAUCGAUGUUCAAAAUGAAAUGCAAACUAAGUGAAUGCAAACUAAGUGAAUGCAAACUGAUGCAGCACAUGAUAUUGGCAUUUCAGAGAGAGCAUGUGAUAUGUCAAAGAGAAGGUAUCUUUGGAACAAAAUUGUAUACUCUUCAUGACAUAUGAAAAUGUCCAGGACAUAGACUAUCGUCUUUUAGAAUAUGAGGCAAAGAAAGGGAAGACUUCUGAGAAAAUACAUCCCAGGAAUUUCAGUUUGAUAUGGUGGUGUCAGAAAGAGACAGUAUCCUGAGGGAAUUUAGGUAAGGGAUGAACCAUAUUUUGAUUACUACUGACUUACUGGUAUUUCAGGUCCUAAUUUGAUUAUACUAUUUAUCUAUCAAAAGUUAGUUUUGAGGGCAAGAUUUUCUAAUGGUCUUUGUCAGCUCAGGAUAUAAUGGGGAAUAAAUACCACACUCUAUGGUGAGCUAUACUAUUUACUUCAUGACUUUAUUGCUAUUUUGUGACCUAGAAGAGUAUAAAGAAUAGUUGCUUUUUUAGUAAGAACAUAUACCAUCAUAUAUAUAUCUUGGGCUCAUGGUUUUUAUAUACAACUAGUCUCUAUCAUUAUAAAUUAUGAUCUGCCUACUACUUGUGAAAACUAUUUUUUUUUUUUUUUGGUUCAGUGUUUGUCAUCUUUAUUGAAUUACUUGUUUUUAUUCCAGUGAAUAAGUUCAUAUAUUGCUUUUCAAGUAUGAAUUUUGCCUUCCAGGCAACCUUGAAAUCAGAUAAAUAAAUAGGGAAAAUAAUCUCAUCACCUACUAACAUCAAGAUGCUUUUAAAUUGUACUUAAGAAAGUUCAUGGUUGAUCAGAACAUAGUGGUAAGACAAAUGUAAAAUGAAGCCCACAUUUUGAAUUUUGUACAGUUUCUAUUCAAAGGGGAAAAAAUCAAUAUGCUGUUAUCUCUAAUUGACUUAGCUUAUACAUGAGUGUUCUGUUUUUAGCUAUGUUGCUCAUAUCU